CCGCUGAGCUAUCAAAAAAAAGUGACAGCGCAUAGCGCAAAGCGGAGUUGAGUGUGCAUGUUACACGGUUAAACAUGUUAAAAAGUUUUUCUGAAAUUUUAGUUUUAUGUUACAUUCAGUGCCCAAAUCAUUCUAUAAGAACUGAUAUAUUGAACUUAUCCCCGUCUUGAUCAAGUGACACACGUAGUAAAAUAUUUAGUGAAUAUAUAAUACAUCUUUUUUGAGUUUCCUUCUGCAAAUCUCAUUCAGAAGAAUCACCAUGCCGAAAGGAAAGAAAAAGGGAAAAUACGAACACAGAAGAACGGAGCAGCCAUACUCUUCAGACGAAGAUGCGGGCAUAGACAUGACCAUAGACAACUGUUCAGAAAUAUCUGGACAGUCUGACCUGAAGAGCAAUCAUGACGAUGCAGAAAACGAAAUCCAAGAGAAGCUUGAAGAGAAAGUAUUGGAGAUUAUAGACGCUCUGAACGCCCGUGCUAACGCCGCCCGCGCCGCUGCGUUCGUAGCGCUGCGAAGCGCUUUACAGCGGCGCUAUCUAGCGGGACUGCUGAGCAACCAUAGGGCUACGCUGGCAGACCAUCUCAGCAGGGCUUUGAGGCGAGGAAAGGACGGUGAGAAGCGAGCCGCUGCGGGGAUUGCACCUUUACUCGCUUUACAGAUUGGCGAGGAAGGGGCAGAGGAUUACAUGCAUGAGGUGCGUCCCGCUUUAGCCGCGGCCGCCGUAGACAAGACCGCCUCGCUGGAGACACGCACAGAGUGCUGCUCGUCCCUGGCUGUGCUAUGCUACCUGCUGGAGGAAGACCUGACGGAAAUCAUCGAGAUCAUGCGCAUGUACGAGACCAUCUUCAGUGGCAGCUAUUUGAAGGGCGACGGCAGCGUCAAAGUAUCGGGCGCUGUGAUAGAGGAAGGCAAUUGGCACGCGGCCGCCGUGGACGGCUGGGCGCUGCUGCUGACGCUGCUGCCCGCGCCGCACGCCCGCUCCGUGCUGCUCUCGCAGCCGCCCAGCUUCGCCCGCCUCGGGGAGCUGCUGGAGGCGGCCAGUCUCGAGGUCCGUAUGGCGGCCGGCGGAGCCCUGGCCAUGGCUCACGAGUGGACCUCCGCAGACGACGAGGAGCCUCCGUAUUUAGAGGCGGUGCUGCCUCGCCUCGAACAACUGGCGAGGGAUUCACAGAAAUUCCGCGCCAAGAGGGAUAGAAAGCUGCAGAGGGCUACUUUCAGGGAUAUACUGAAGUAUUUUGAGGAGGACGAGGUGCCAUCGGUUCGCAUCCGCGUCGGCGCCGAGAGCGUGAUCUGCGACACGUGGCGCGCGCACGCCGCGUACGGCGCGCUGGCGGCCGCGCUCGGCGGCGGCGGGCUGGCGGCCGCGGCGGGGCACUGCGGCGCGCUGCGGGCCGCGCUCGGGCUGCGCGAGCCGCCCGCGCGGCUGCAGCUGCCCGCCGCGCGCCUCAACAAGCUGCAGCGGGUGAGUGUGUCACUGUAGCGGCCGGCCACUGCGGCGCGCUGCGGGCCGCGCUCGGGCUGCGCGAGCCGCCCGCGCGGCUGCAGCUGCCCGCCGCGCGCCUCAACAAGCUGCAGCGGCACCUCCAGAACAACGCGGCGUGCAAGGCCCGCACGGUGGCGCGCGCCAAGAACCGCGACAAACGCUCCGCCGCGCUCGCAGUGUGAACGCGCCCGUACCGCCCCGUAGGAUACAACACUCACAUCGCGUAGGUUAUAAUGUAGGGCAUAGCCCGCCUUGGGUGAGCGACUAUCGAGUUUUGUUUGGCAUAUCAAAGUGUAUUCUAAAAAAAAGAGUAAUAUUUACUAUUUACCUAAUAUUUGCUUUGAAAUUUUUUUAUGAACUUAUUUCGUAUUUAUUGUUGGUAAAAUAAAUCAAAUAAGAGUUUUGAAAAAAACUACUCCUACUACCUUUGCAAAUUUUUUUGGUGAUAGGAUUUUAUUUAUAUUUUUCCCCAUAACGAUGACUUAACAAAUGUAUUUUAGUGUUUCUCGCUCGCCCAAGAAAACUAAUAUAAGCUUUGAGCCAACGCACAUUAAACCGUUCAAGCAAAAAUUUAAGUCUUUUCAGAUACAAUAUUCCUUGUUUCUUUGAAAAGAAAUUUACUCCAUAAAAGUUUUUUAGAUCUGAUUUUCUAACUUCAUUAAUGUGACAGCGGAGCAAAUGUCUAAACUUUGUAAAGAAACUUAACUACAUACUUAGAACCCUUAUUACCUUACAUUUUUGCAUCAAGUUACAGUAAGCAUCAGUUUAGAAUUGUUAUUUUUAAAUUAUCAAGUGUAAUGUGCGCUGGCUCGGUCCAGAAACUGCCGGUUCCAACGCUCAAAAAAUGAUCACUCGGCAUCGCAGCCCGAAAGUAGUUGACGCUAGCUAGUAGUGUAGCUGUAGGCUAGAGAACCAAAGAGAUUCGUCAUUGUUUUGAUAAAAAAUAAAAAGUUGGAACCGCCCGCUAUUAUCAUAUCACCCCUUUCACGCACCGACAGAUUUCGUUCAAUUAGUGUUAGACAUUUUAAUUUGAAAUUUUGUGAUUUGCAAUAUAAAAAUCAUAAUUACGUAUGUUUUCCGAUAUUUUUGUAUAAGUCCGUACUUACUCCUUAACUUGAUUUGGGCCCGACGUAUGUCGACGGUUCAUUUGUUAUGCGAUUACUGCCAUUUUAAAUGAUCUAUUGUUUUAGUAGUGAAAUAUUUUAAGAUAAUUAUUAUACCUAUGUUAUAUUAUUAUUGAUAUUUUUUAUAUCAAGUCGAGGGUUGUCGGUGUUUUUAUGUAUAAUGGUUAAUUGUACCCUAAUUUCUUUGUACACUUCGCCACCGAUCCAGCAUGAGACGGAAGGAGCCAGAUUCUUACAAAAUUAAGAGUUCGAAAACGAUUACGAUUGCGUGAGAAUAGGACCCCAGACUUAGUCCAAUAGAAAAUUAUUUUGGUUUCGCUUGAUGUGUGGCCGACUGUACCGUAAGAUUGAUUAUUUGCUUGCAUUCAAAUUAUCAAGUUGCGGAGUAAGGAGCUAUUUUAAUGGUUGAUAUAUUAUAAUAUAGUGACUUGUGCUGUGAAGAUAUUGAUGUACAUAAUAACAUCGCCACGGCAGUGCAAUUCAUAUUUUAAUAUAAUUGUAUAAAACUUCUCUGUAAAUAUUAUUUUAAUUGGUAUCCGUCGUUGCGGCCGCCUACACUUGUACAUUAUUUAGGCUACGGAAUGUUGAAAUAAUAUUUAUGAUGGGAA